ACGCCCGUAGCUCAAUAUGGAUAGAGCGUUGUUUUCCGGAAGCAAAGGUUUCAGGUUCAAGUCCUGUCGGGCGUU
rnacentral:tRNA from 1 species